ACCCGCUGAACUUAAGCAUAUCAAUAAGCGGAGGAAAAGAAACCAACAGGGAUUGCCCCAGUAACGGCGAGUGAAGCGGCAACAGCUCAAAUUUGAAAUCUGGCUCUCGGGCCCGAGUUGUAAUUUGUAGAGGAUGCUUUUGGUGAGGUGCCUUCCGAGUUCCCUGGAACGGGACGCCAUAGAGGGUGAGAGCCCCGUCUGGUCGGACACCGAUCCUCUGUAAAGCUCCUUCGACGAGUCGAGUAGUUUGGGAAUGCUGCUCUAAAUGGGAGGUAUAUGUCUUCUAAAGCUAAAUACCGGCCAGAGACCGAUAGCGCACAAGUAGAGUGAUCGAAAGAUGAAAAGAACUUUGAAAAGAGAGUUAAAAAGUACGUGAAAUUGUUGAAAGGGAAGCGCUUGUGACCAGACUUGGGCUUGGUUGAUCAUCCAGGGUUCUCCCUGGUGCACUCUUCCGGCCCAGGCCAGCAUCAGUUCGCCC
rnacentral:rRNA from 1 species